rfam:Nelumbo nucifera unplaced genomic scaffold scaffold00272, whole genome shotgun sequence
CAUUAGGCGCCACUAGGCGCCACUUCAGCGUAAUAGUGAAUAAAUG